CAUAUUUAAGUAUAGCUAUAUAUCACAAAAUAUCCUGUGUUUUAUUAGUAUAACAAUCGAAAGCAUCAUAUUCCUCAUCGAUUUUACCGUACUUUAUAAAUAGCAUUGAAAAACAUAUGACUGCUCAUCAAUAGCACAAAGCGAUUAUGAGAACUGCAGAUUACCUGGUUAGGUGAAGAAAAGGUUUUUUUCAUUCAGUGGCAAUAGUGGCAACCCAAGAAACACAGCUAGCAAUAUCAGAAAAGGGAAUUGCCCUUCCUGGCUAAUAACAGUUUUAUUAAAUAUUUGUGUAAAAUGCACAAAUGGCAAGAUAAUAAUUAUGAUAUUUUAGAUGCCGUCAAAAAACAGACACUCCAAUGUUCUCUCCUUGACUCUGUGGCCAAACCGUUUAUGAGAAAGCCAAAAGAGGAAUAUGUUUUUGAGAUUUCUUUCACAAGAUUGUGACUAUAGUUACGUCAACCUAAAGUCAUCAGAAAGAUUAGAAUCUAAAAGACUUUAUUUAAAUACAAACAUUUAGGAUAGACUGCCUAGAAAAGCACAGAUUUUAAAGAAUGGAAGUCAGUAUUCCAAAGUGUAGAAUUUUAAGAUCAUUUAAACAAAAUUCAAGAAAGUUUAACAGAAUUUUAACAUCUUUCUAUGUAAGGUUUAAUGUAUAGUUAUAAUAUUUUGAUUAGAUAAUCAAAUAUUAUCAAUUUUUUGGAAAAGAUAUAUUUAACAUUCUAAACAAGGCAGGUUCUGGUGUCCCUGGAAGUUGUAGUUUUGAUGUUAAUGCUUGUUUACACUUAUAGAUUCUGCAUUGACCACCAGAAGCUCCUCACACAAUGGCAGCAGGUUGGUGAACAAGAUAUAAAAGAUUCUACAGGCCCCAACCUGAGUGAUCCUCCUGCUUUAUAGGGUCUGUAUUGAUCUCUCAUGAUACAAGAAAGGUCUGCCCUGGAUUUUCUGUAAUCCUCAGACUGAAGGCUGGCCCUGUUUUAUGAAUCUCACGGGGAGGCAAAUUCCCCUUGUGUGCAAAUUCUAUGAGGGAUCGCAUCUGUUCUGUAUUCUUGGGUUUUACAGCAAGAAGAGACAAGAGGAAAAGAGAUUCCUUCCAGGAAGGCUGCUAUAGAGCAUUCUGAAGAGCCCCAGAUACUGCAUUCAAAAUUUAGUGGUGCAGAUUUAGGUUCCCAGAGAGACAGGGAAGUGGAAGAGGCCAACUCAAUGCGCAGGUACAUGUCUGUGCUACCAGGCCCCAUGUUCUCUGAAUCAAUUUCUGUUAUAAAGUCCCCAGGUACAUUGAAAGACAGGGCUGGAACGGAUGAUUGCCACUUUAUGAGGUUAUUUUAUUACAAAUCUUUUCUAACUAUGCCCCAGAUGAAACUGCAGAGCCCAAAAUAGGCAGCAAGAUCAUACUGCAUUCACAUUUUGAGGGCAGGCAAGAUCUUCACUGAACAAUUGUGGCUUGGGGGAAGAAAGCCUGAAAGAAAAUUUGAUGGGUAUCUGCCAAAGUCCCUUCUAGUAUGAAACCUGAUCGGUACCUUUUAUGUUUAUAUUUGAUCUUGUAAUUCUGAACAGUGCUUGGGAAAUAUAAUUAAAACAACAUUGCCUCCCAACCUAGAAUGCCUCCCCACAAAGGUAGAAGAGAGAUAAAAUUGUUUUAUAACUCAAACCAGAAUGUGAUGUGCAUCAGAAGCAAAACAUGUAGUGUUUAAACAUCACAGUCUGGUUUGAGUUAUAAAACAUAUGUGUUGUCAAGAUUAAUAUUAGUAGCCCUCAAGUAGGAAAAUUUGACAGCACCAUUUGGCACAGUUUAUCCUAAAUUCACCUGGUAACUAGAAAGAUGAUCUAGGUUUGAUAACUGGCUUUAUUAAAAGGAAAAAUAGGCCGGGCGCGGUGGCUGACGCCUGUAAUCCCAGCACUUUGGGAGGCUGAGACGGGCAGAUCACGAGGUCAGGAGAUUGAGACCAUCCUGGCUAACACGGUGAAACCCCGUCUCUACUAAAAAUACAAAAAAUUAGCUGGGCGUGGUGGCAGGUGCCUGUAGUCCCAGCCACUCGGGAGGCUGAGGCAGGAGAAUGGCGUGAACCCCGGAGGCGGUGCUUGCAGUGAGCCGAGACUGUGCCACUGCUCUCCAGUCUGGGCGACAGGGCGAGACUCCGUCUCAAAAAAAAAACCGGGGGGGAAAAUAAACUUCCAACUUUUGUGACAGAAAAUUGUUUUGCAACUUGGAAUUAAGUGCCUGAUAAAAUUAGGCUUCUAUCUUACUGCAAAAUUGUGAGAUCGGGUACUAUCUUUUUUCGUAUUUAUAUUUCAAAUACAUUGUUCCCAGGUCCUGGAGAAAAGUAUUCGUGUGUGUGUGUGUGUGUGUGUGUGUGUGUGUGUGUGUGUGUGUGUUUUAACAAAGAGAAGCAAAACAGCCAGCUAAAUGUCGGAAAGUUGCACAUUUUGGAGACUGAUUUAGUUGGCUAGAUGGGCUUUUUAACGUAGUGUGUUUUUUAGAUUACUGGCUUCAGGGUGGAGCCACUUAAUAAAUAAAGCAAAGGAAGCAUGCAGUUUUUAGGGCUUAAUAUUUAAAUAUGUGCAAAGCAGGAGCAGCUGGAAGGCAUAACACUUAGAUUCUCCCAAAUCAAGAAUCCCAUUUUUACAUUGAAUUCUGAGCCCCCAAAAGAAAUGCCAUGCCAGAGGACUGGGCAGUUCAAUGAUUCCAUAGUGCACCUCAGUAGAGGGACAUUCAUUUGAGGUUGGUAGGCAAUCCUAUGCCAGCACACACUAUGAUUACUGCAUCCCACAUGGGUGUCUUACCCCUCGGUGGGGUGGCUUGGGGGCUGUUUCUGUAGCCUCUACAUUCUAAACCAUACUUUUUCUAUCCAAACACCCAAAGAAAUAAGCAACUCCCUAGAGUAAUAAACAUUUACUGUAAGCGACUGCUGUCAGCCCUCUAACACCAUAGCUCUUGCCAGUGACUCACCAGCAAUUACAUCCACCUAGUCAAGUUCUCUCAUAGUACAAUGUAAUCUCUGGUAUCCCCCAAAGCCAAGGAGAUCAAGUAAUGCAAUACAAGAAAGAGCAGAGUGUUAGACCUGAGAGGGAUCUCUCUGCUUACAACUCUGAGGGCCUCAUGAGAAAAAGCAGUUUCCUCCCAAGAGGAGGAGACUGUGACAACUUUUCUGUUUUCUGUGAUUCUAGGCUAGAAUUCUGUUAGAAUUCUUUUUUUGGGGGGCGUUCCCCUCAUGUGGCAUUUGGAGUGGCAAGAGGAAGGACAGACAGAAGUAAAUGGAGAAACAGAAUUCAUUUGACUUUUACAGAGAGAGGAGAUCUUAAAACCAUGCAUAUGUGUAUGUACGUAGAGUAAAUAUCAGUUUUUAUUAAGUCAACUUUGGACUAUAGAGCUCUUUAAAAAUCCUUUUCCUAACUGUAAUUCCUACUCAAGUCAUUAUACUUUUGCUGCUAGCUGGACCUCUGUAGCCAAAUGAGCAGCCAUUACACCUUAGUCGCUGUUCAACACCCUUCCUCACUGCAGUGUGAUAGACCACUCUCAGAUAACAAUCAUGCUAAUUCUGCCAGAAGUAUCCUAACUAGAGGCCCUAUCUUGAAUAAAGGCCAGGUAAAGCCAAACCUAUGGCCGGGCACAGUGGCUCGCACCUGUAAUCCCAACACUUUGGGAGGCUGAAGUGGGCAGAUCAGCUGAGGUCAGAGAUUCAAAAACAGCCUGGCCAACAUGGUGAAACCCUGUCUCUACUAAAAAUAUAUAAAUUAGCCGGGUGUGGUGGCGGGCACCUGUAAUCCCGGCUACUCGGGAGGCUGAGGCAGGAGAAUGGCUUACGCCCAAGAGGCGGUGAUUGCAGUGAGCCGAGAUUGCACCACUGCAGUCCAGCCUGGGCAACUCAGCGAGACUCUGUCUCAAGAAAAAAAAAAAAAAAAUGCCAAACCUGCUGGAUUACUUUCCGAGGGGGCUGGGCACUCUUGGUCACAAGAUGUUUAUGGUUGAAACACUGAGUUAAUGAUGUUAAUCAACUAAAUAAGAACUCAAAACUUAAGAAAAUGUCCCAGUACUUUAAGAAAAAGCAUUAUUAGUUUAAGUAUGUUUUGCUUUAAAAAUAGUACUCAUAAAUUCUUGCUGAAAUCAAUAGUAACAUAGAAAAGUAACAAUACUAAUAGCCUGUCAUAAGCUGAUUAGAAUCCUCUGUAAUAAAGUAUACCAUUCUUAAUAACCUAUAUAACCAUUUGAAAUGGGUGCAUUUCUCCUCUUGCUUUCUGAGGAAGGCCUACUCUAACAGAGGAGCUUUCAAUAAACUAUCUCUUCUCAUUGCAAGGCAUUCCUCUUCCUGCUUUCUGAGGAUGCCCUACUCUGUAACUGAGUAGUCUCUAAUAAACUUUACUACACUCUGCAACUCACCAAGAAUUCUUUCCUGUGUGAGAUUCAAGAACCCACUCUUGGGGUCUGGGACAAGAUCAUCACAUCUCUUCUAGUGACUCUGCCAGGACUUGAAUGAGGUGAAGUCCCAACUCAAAGGAAUGAGGUCCCAACCCAAAGGAAACAGACUCUGCAGCACCAAUGGGCUGACGCAAACUCUAGUUGUAAAUUUUUGACAAAUAAACCCUUACGACCUUCACCUAGUUUAGAAACAGAACAUUUUCAUCAUCUUCAGAAAAUUCACUCGUGUUUUGUCCCAGGCACCUAUCUUUUCUUCCUCAGCCAGAGGCUAUCAAUGUGUUUAUUUCACCAUAGGUUUAUUUUGCCUGAAAUAAUACAAUACAUAAAUAUACAAAACACAAUUUUAUGUCUACCUUUUUUCACUUACGAGGUCUAUGAGAUUCAUAUAGGGUGUGAGCUUUAGGCUGAGUUGUAUUCUGUUAUAUGAAUGCUAUGCAAUUAAUUCAAACCACUGCUUUAACCCAACAUCUUUUGGUGAACUACUUACAAACUGGCUCUCAAAUGAAUGUAAAACAUUUGCUGCUAAGUUGUGGCCUUUCAAUCUUACCUGCCUUAUCUAAUCAUUAUUAAGAUAGUCACUAUGAGAAAACUAUUCUCCAAAUUAUUGAAAGUUUAAGUCCUCCAGCAAAAGGAAUAUUAGGGAAGACAUUUCACUGUUAACCCAUAGUAUAUUAUUUCCAUCUGUUAACCACAAUCUUAGAUAAGAUGGAAUAGUUUAACACUGGUGUCAGUACAACAUUUCAUUCAUUGUACAUCAGUGUUAAAACAUGAAAAACCAACUCAUUUUAUUAAAAGAAAUUAAGUUCACCCAUAGUCUACAGCAUUUUAAAAUCCACUAUAUUCUUCCUGGUCAAAAUACAGUUACAAGUACUCAAGAAGCAUUCUUUUUUUCCAAUAUACUAAUCUUGCAGUUCUGUUUUCUACGUUUUUUUAAAGUGAGGCUAAUUAUUUAGUGAAUGUUGAUAGGAAUUAUCUUCACAUUUCCCUGAUACAGGUGAAGAUGUUAUUCUCAUCACAUCAAAUACUCAACUUUUUCACUAUGUAUUCUAUCACAUCAAAUAAUACUAAAGACUCCUACUUUAUUCUGUUUUAAAGAUAUGUUAGUACUUCAACUCAGUGGUCCUAACCUUUUUGGCACCAGGGAUUGGUUUCAUGGAAGACAAUUUUUCUACAAACUGGCAAGGAGAGAGAUGGUUUUGGGAUGAAAAUGUUCUGCCUCAGGUCAUCAGGCAUUAGUUGGAGUCUCCUAAGGAGCACACAACCUAGAUCCCUCACAUGCAUAGUUCACAAUAGGGUUUAUGAAAAUCUAAUGCCACCACUCAUCUGAGAGGAGGCAGAGCUCAGGUGGUAAUGCUUGCUCACCCACCACUCAUGUCCUACUGGUGCAGCUCAGUUUCUAACAGGCCACAGACCAGUAACUGGUCUACAGCCUGGGAAUGGGGACCUCUGCUUUAAAUGAAGUCUUUUUAAAAAAAAAAAAAAAAAAAAACUUAUGGAGGAAUUGAAGUAAUUUCAAAAAUUCAGAAUAUCCCUCUUACUUUAAUAUAGAAAAGAGCUCUAAACACGUAUAUGUUUACAUGCAUUACUACUUUAUUCAAACA
rnacentral:lncRNA from 10 species